rnacentral:rRNA from 1 species
AGUGAACGCUGGCGGUAGGCCUAACACAUGCAAGUCGAACGGCAGCACAGGAGAGCUUGCUCUCUGGGUGGCGAGUGGCGGACGGGUGAGGAAUACAUCGGAAUCUACCCAGUCGUGGGGGAUAACGUAGGGAAACUUACGCUAAUACCGCAUACGACCUUCGGGUGAAAGAGGGGGAUCGCAAGACCUCUCGCGAUUGGAUGAGCCGAUGUCGGAUUAGCUAGUUGGCGGGGUAAUGGCCCACCAAGGCGACGAUCCGUAGCUGGUCUGAGAGGAUGAUCAGCCACACUGGAACUGAGACACGGUCCAGACUCCUACGGGAGGCAGCAGUGUGGAAUAUUGGACAAUGGGCGCAAGCCUGAUCCAGCCAUACCGCGUGGGUGAAGAAGGCCUUCGGGUUGUAAAGCCCUUUUGUUGGGAAAGAAAUCUUUCAGGCUAAUACCCUGGGAGGAUGACGGUACCCAAAGAAUAAGCACCGGCUAACUUCGUG